GAACAAUUGCAUUCUUGCUCGUUAUCAUCAUUAAAUACAAGAACUCACACAAGGUGCAUUGUCGAGAACGGCAGUAAUUUAGCGCGAUUUAAGGCAGCAGACCGCGCACAAUCAAUCAUAUGCAUGCUACUUGUGGAUACAGUCACUUUUUCACUGCAAAUGAUGAGGUAAUCUGAUUAAAUGUACUGGAUUUACGACAUUUUGGCAAUUAGAAAUACAUGCUUGAUUGUGACCUCACGUACCCCAGUUUGGGAACCACUGGUUUACAGCAUUAGAUUUUUUUUUCCUCCCCAAAGAGAAAAUGUUAAUUGAAUUUAUUUAAAGAGAGAGACACUAUUUGUUCAAUAAACCACUGUUUAAUAAAAAAAGAAGAAAAAAGAAGCAAUUUUAUGUUUAGCUUUCUCCUCCUUCUAUACCGAACCGUGACUGCAGUACUGAGGUGUGUACCGAACCGUCAUGUUACCAUUGUGUACCAUUACACCCCUAAUACAUAAGAUAUGUGUUGAUAUAGUUAUUUUUGCGAGUGUUUUCUUUACAUUCUGUCUUUUUAGGGCUGAUUUGUGUUUAUCAAAUAUGAUUUUAUUAGCUACACAUUCAACUUGCCUCAGAGACAGCGAAUGCAGAACUAAUAUGAAAAGAAGAGGUCACAACUGAAGCACUAAAAGCAUAACUAGACGAAAAUCCCCCCCCCCC